GCUUACGGCCAUACCACCCUGAGCACGCCCGAGCUUGUCUGAUCUUGGAAGCUAAGCAGGGUUGGGCUUUGUUAGUACUUGACUGGGAGACCGCCUGGGAAUACCAGGUGCUGUAAGGU
ensembl:rRNA 5S_rRNA 5S ribosomal RNA